UUGUCAUCCCAGGAAAGCAUUUCAAACAAAGAGGAAUGGUUCCCCCAUUUCAACCUCUUUCCAUGGCUUUCAGCAAUAUCAAUUACUAUGUGGAUGUCCCUUUGGAAUUGAAACAACAAGGGAUAUAAGAAGAAAGGCUACAACUGCUUGUUAAUGUUACUGGAGCUUUUAGGCCUGGAGUGUUGACAGCAUUGGUUGGAGUAAGCGGGGCUGGAAAACCACGCUAAUGGAUGUCUUGGCUGGAAGAAAAACUGGAGGUGUUGUGAAGGUAAAGAUUUUCUCCCUUCAUUUUUUGUUAUCGUUAUUAUUUAAAAAAAAAUGAAUGCGGAAUAUGCUGGAAAAAUCGGCAUGUUAUCUUGGUGAAUAUGCAAUAUUUUGCAAGAAUUAACAUCUUAAUGUUUGAAGUCUAACCCCUGCUAUUUUGAUUUUUUUUUUACUAGGUUCUUCUACAGCUAGAUCCGUUUCUCAAUGAACUCACCAUCAUGUUCGAGCGCAGCACCGAGACGGGCUCUGUUUGGGUUACACUUAAACGAUCAUCCUUGAAGCCUAAAGCUGUGAGGAAUAAAAUGGCCG